GAUGAAGAACGCAGCGAAACGCGAUACGUAGUGUGAAUUGCAGAAUUCAGUGAAUCAUCGAAUCUUUGAACGCACAUUGCACCUCUCGGUAUUCCGGGAGGUAUGCCUGUUCGAGCGUCAUUUGUACCCUCAAGCUCUGCUUGGUGUUGGGUGUUUGUUCCGCCUCUGUGUGUGAACUCGCCUCAAAACAAUUGGCAGCCGGCGUACUUGUUUCGGAGCGCAGCACAUUUUGCGAUCCAGAUCAACGUACAGCGGCAUCCAAGAAGCCUUAUUUAACGCUCUUGACCUCGGAUCAGGUAGGGAUACCCGCUGAACUUAAGCAUAUCAAUAAGCGGAGGA
rnacentral:misc_RNA from 1 species